GCAUUUUCGAGCCAAAAGUACGAAACGCCUACGCGGGAAAUCAGUCCACCGGACUGAUUUCUGAUCCCGUUUUGAUGCGUAGGAUAAUGCGCCAAAACAAAGAGUUAGGCUGUAGGUGACGAUUCUGUUAAAAUAGAAGCCGCUGUAGCGCCCUUCUGCGCCUG
rnacentral:misc_RNA from 1 species